rnacentral:lncRNA from 1 species
UAUACAUAUAUAUAUAUAUAUACAUAUAUAUACAUAUAUAUAUAUAUAUAUAUACAUAUAUAUAUAUAUAUAUACAUAUAUACAUAUAUAUAUAUAUAUAUGUAUACAUAUAUAUAGUUCGGCUAUGGUACUUGUAAAAGCACCAAGCACUUUGUGCUUAUAAAUUUUUUACUAUUAGAUCUACGCCUUUGGUCAUUUUCAACCGUGAGAUUAUACUAUUCAACCAACCACCCACUCAACCCUAGGGGGCCCACAUCAUCCUAACCGCACAUCCCUUAAUCCAAUGGCCAAAAAUCUAUAAGCACCAAUAACUUGGUACUUUUAAAAGCAUAGAAGCUCAAUUCUAUAUAUUUAUCACCGUUUUUUAUGAGAUGUUUAUUUUCAGUCGUUCAUUUUGAAACUACUCGUUCACUAGGCAAACAAAGUCAAAAAAUUAUGAAAUUUAGUUUCUAAAUAGUUUCAAUAGCAUAGAUCAUGUCUAACAGAAAUGAUCGCUGAAUCGGAUGUCCCAUCAUCAAAAACAACUUACAAGCAUAGAGGCCUCCGUAAUUUCGAAAGUAUAGGAGCCUAGCUCUAUAUAUAUACUAGUGAAAUACCUGCGCGAUGCUGCGGAUAUAAAAAUAUUUUUAUAAUAAAUUUUAGUUUUUUAUUAUUUAUAUAGUUUUAUAAGUUUAAUUAUUAAUUAAAUAAAGUUAUAUAAAAAUAAUUUAAUAGUUAAUUUUAUUUAAAUAAAAAUUAUUAAAACAACAACUUAUUUUAUAAAUAUUUAUGUGAAAAAGAUUUGAGAUAAAUAAUAAUUUAAGAAAUUAAUAAAUAGAAGAAUUUGUUUAAUAAAAUUAAUUAUAUAUAUAUAUAUACACACACNUCAUUUUCAGCCAUUCAUUUUUCUCUUCUCUUGAUGGAUAAAAGAACAAUAUCGAAAGUGCGUGAAAUUUGAUAAAAAAAAGUAUUUCGAUUUUUGAUCUUUUCAAAUAUAUCCUUCUACCAUCACCAAUAUUUUUUAUUUGUCCUUAAGUAAAGGCAAAAUAGGCAUUUUGAUUUUUUUAAAACUCUAGUAAAUAUUUAACUCACGUUUAACCCAAGUUAACCCAACUGUAGAGCUAUUUUGGAAUAACGGAGGAACAUAUGAAGGAUAUAUUAAAAAAAAAAAAAUAGAGGUAAUUGAGAUAUUUUCGAAGUUUUGAGGGUAUAUAAGUAAUUAUCCCUAAUUUAAAAUAAUUUUAGAUUUGGAUCGGGUUCGGAUCGGGGUCGAAUUCAAAUUGGAUAUAAUCAAAAUUCAAAAAUUUAAAUUCAUCGAAUUUUUAAUUUUGGUAUUUAAAUUCGAAAUUACAUUCAUAUAGCAUCCGGUAAAUCUAUUCAGAUUCGGAUUCGGAUAGCGUGGACAUGGUAUUACAAAAUUAUCCUUUACUAAAAAGAGAUAAUUGCCUAUAUACCCCUCAUAUGUUUGAAAAUAUCCGAUUUAUCCGUACUUUUUUUUCUUUCUAAAAUACCCCUCAUAUGUUCCACCGUUAUUGCAAAAUACCCCUACAAUUAUCUCCUGUUAAGUUAACUUGGAUUAAACGUGAGUUAAAUAUCUACCACAGUUAAAAAAAUUAAAAUACCAAUUUUGCUCUUAACUUAAGGGCAAAUAAGAAAUGUUGGUGACGGUAAAGGGGUAUAUUGAAAAAGAUCAAAAGUCAAAAUACUUUUUGUGCCCCUGACUUUAAGGACAAAUAAAAAAAUCAGUGAUGAUGGAAGGGUAUAUUUGAAAGGGUAAAAUAGUAAUUUUACAAAGAUAACGGAGUUAGUUAACGGAUUUUAACUUUAGGAGUAUAUUAGAAAUAGAUUGGAAUGUAGAAAAAAUAUUUUUAAUAUUAAUUUUUUAAGAGAAAUAAAUUAAAAAAUUAGAAGCUUUUCAGAGUUAUA